rnacentral:rRNA from 1 species
GGCUAACUACGUGCCAGCAGCCGCGGUAAUACGUAGGUGGCAAGCGUUGUCCGGAAUUACUGGGUGUAAAGGGAGCGCAGGCGGGUGAUCAAGUCAGCUGUGAAAACUACGGGCUUAACCCGUAGACUGCAGUUGAAACUGUUCAUCUUGAGUGAAGUAGAGGUUGGCGGAAUUCCGAGUGUAGCGGUGAAAUGCGUAGAUAUUCGGAGGAACACCGGUGGCGAAGGCGGCCAACUGGGCUUUAACUGACGCUGAGGCUCGAAAGUGUGGGGAGCAAACAGGAUUAGAUACCCUGGUAGUCCACACUGUAAACGAUGAUUGCUAGGUGUGGGGGGUCUGACCCCUUCCGUGCCGGAGCUAACGCAAUAAGCAAUCCACCUGGGGAGUACGACCGCAAGGUUGAAACUCAAAGGAAUUGACGGGGACCCGCACAAGCAGUGGAUUAUGUGGUUUAAUUCGAAGCAACGCGAAGAACCUUACCAGCACUUGACAUCCAACUAACGAAAUAGAGAUAUAUUAGGUGCCCUUCGGGGAAAGUUGAGACAGGUGGUGCAUGGUUGUCGUCAGCUCGUGUCGUGAGAUGUUGGGUUAAGUCCCGCAACGAGCGCAACCCUCGCCAUUAGUUGCUACGCAAGAGCACUCUAAUGGGACCGCUACCGACAAGGUGGAGGAAGGUGGGGACGACGUCAAAUCAUCAUGCCCCUUAUGUGCUGGGCUACACACGUAAUACAAUGGCCAUCAACAGAGAGAAGCAAUACCGCGAGGUGGAGCAAAACUUCAAAAAUGGUCUCAGUUCGGACUGCAGGCUGCAACCCGCCUGCACGAAGUUGGAAUUGCUAGUAAUCGUGGAUCAGCAUGCCACGGUGAAUACGUUCCCGGGUCUUGUACACACCGCCCGUCACACCAUGGGAGCCGGUAACACCCGAAGUCAGUAGUCUAACCGCAAGGAGGACGCUGCCGAAGGUGGGAUUGGCGACUGGGGUGAAGUCGUAACAAGGUAGCCGUAUCGGAAGGUGCGGCUG